AGGGAAACUGAUAAACUGUGGGGACCACCACCACCAUGUGGCCUUGACAUAUGACUCAUCGGAGGCAGUAGUGCCUGCUGUGGUAGAGUGGAGAUCUACCGUAAUGGCCAGUGGGGAACCGUGUGUGAUGAUCACUGGGACAUGAAGGAUGCAGAGAUGGUGUGCAGACAGCUGGGAUGUGGCUGAGCUCCCCGGGCCCCUGCCAGUGCCCACUUUGGUCAGGGACAAGAACCAACAUAACUGGAUGAUGUUCAGUGUUCAGGAACUGGGAAAUAUAUGAGUCAGUGUUCACAUGGAGGAUUUGGGAAGGAGGACUGUGGACAUGAUGAAGAUGCUGGAGUUAUAUGCUCAGGUGACUUGAGGAGUCCUACAUUCUUCCAAGUCUCAUCCCACUCUGCUGUCUCACCUGGAGAGACCAUUCAGUUCAGAUGCACCACACCCAACCCAACCUGCAUCUCCACAGAGUUCAGACUGUAUAGAGAUGGGAAAUUGAGACUGUAUGCACAAACUGUUACUGGAUCUGUGGUGUCCACUUCUGUGCUAUUGAAGGCAUUGAGUAACAUAUUGAGAUGUGGAAGAACUGGAAAAGGGUUUUGUAAAGUGACAGAUCUCCAGGAGCUUGGUCAUCCUGGAGGUGACUGAUCUCCAGGAGCUUGGCCACCCUGCUCGAGAGUUUCUCAGAAUUCAGCAGCAGGCU